GAUGAACGCUAGCGGCAGGCUUAAUACAUGCAAGUCGUGGGGCAGCAUGAGUAGCAAUACUUGAUGGCGACCGGCAAACGGGUGAGGAACACGUACACAACCUUCCUUCAAGCGGGGAAUAGCCCAGAGAAAUUUGGAUUAAUACCCCAUAAUAUAUUUGAUAAGGCAUCUUAUUAAUAUUAAAGCUUCGGCACUUGAUGAUGGGUGUGCGGCUGAUUAGAUAGUUGGCGGGGUAACGGCCCACCAAGUCUACGAUCAGUAGCUGAUGUGAGAGCAUGAUCAGCCACACGGGCACUGAGACACGGGCCCGACUCCUACGGGAGGCAGCAGUAAGGAAUAUUGGACAAUGGACGAAAGUCUGAUCCAGCCAUGCCGCGUGAAGGAUUAAGGUCCUC
rnacentral:rRNA from 1 species